rnacentral:rRNA from 1 species
AUGGGAACGCGAAGAACCUUACCUAGACUUGACAUCUCCUGAAUAGUGUAGAGAUACAUGAAGCCCUUCGGGGCAGGAAGACAGGUGGUGCAUGGUUGUCGUCAGCUCGUGUCGUGAGAUGUUGGGUUAAGUCCCGCAACGGAGCGCCAACCCUUAUUACUAGUUGCUACCAUUAAGUGAGCACUCUAGUGAGACUCGGUCCCGGGGUUAACCGGGAGGAAGGGCGGGGAUGACGUACAAAUCAUCAUCGCCCCUUAUGUCUAGGGCAACACACGUGCUACAAUGGUGAGUACAGAUAGAUGCGAUACCGCAAGGUGGAGCCAAACUCUAAAACUCAUCCCAGUUCGGAUUGUAGGCUGCAACUCGCCUACAUGAAGUUGGAGUUGCUAGUAAUCGCGAAUCAGAAUGUCGCGGUGAAUACGUUCCCGGGUCUUGUACACACCG